rnacentral:tRNA from 1 species
GCGUCGGCAGGUGGCGGAACCACGUCAGCUGCCGCUUGGCGAACUGCCGGGUGCGGGUGCGGAUCUGGUCCGCGGUGGCGUCC